AGAGUUUGAUUAUGGCUCAGGAUGAACGCUGGCGGCAGGCUUAAUACAUGCAAGUCGAACGGUAAGGUCCGAAGUGGCAACACGGAGGAUACACGAGUGGCGCACGGGUGCGUAACGCGUAUGCAACCUGCCCCCGACCGGGACAAAACAGCUGGAAACGGCUGCUAAUAUCCCAUGGUCAUGCGGAAGGGCAUCCUUCUUCAUGUAAAGAUUCAUUGGUCGGGGAUGGGCAUGCGUAUUAUUAGGUAGUUGGCGGGGUAACGGCCCACCAAGCCGACGAUGAUUAGGGGUCCUGAGAGGGUUAACCCCCACACUGGAACUGAGACACGGUCCAGACUCCUACGGGAGGCAGCAGUAGGGAAUAUUGGGCAAUGGGAGCAAUCCUGACCCAGCCAUGCCGCCGUGAAGGAAGACGGCCCUAUGGGUUGUAAACUUCUUUUGCCGCAGAGUAAACCCGGUCACGAGUGGUCGGUUGAGAGUAUGCGGCGAAUAAGUAUCGGCUAACUCCGUGCCAGCCGCCGC
rnacentral:rRNA from 1 species